GAGGGUGUUUGGUAAGUGCGUGGUGAGCGAGUGCAGGAACAGCUCUCUGAAGUUCUUCACAGUGUGAGACUUGGAGGACACCUGCUUUGGGGGAUUUCUUUUCUGUUCUGCCAAAAUGGAGCUGAGUGAUGCCAAUUUACAGACUUUAACUGAGUAUCUAAAGAAAACACUAGAUCCAGAUCCUGCUAUAAGGCGUCCUGCGGAAAAGUUUCUUGAGUCAGUUGAAGGAAGCCAGAAUUAUCCGUUGUUACUCUUAACACUGCUGGAGAAAUCACAGGAAAAUGUCAUCAAAGUUUGUGCAUCUGUAACGUUCAAGAACUAUAUUAAAAGGAACUGGAGAAUUGUUGAGGAUGAACCAAACAAAAUAUGCGAAUCGGACAGGAUAGCCAUUAAAGCCAACAUAGUGCCCUUGAUGCUUAGCAGCCCAGAACAAAUUCAAAAGCAGUUAAGUGAUGCUAUUAGUAUUAUUGGUCGGGAAGACUUUCCUCAGAAAUGGCCAGACUUACUGACAGAAAUGGUGAAUCGCUUUCAAAGUGGAGAUUUCCAUGUCAUUAAUGGGGUCCUUCGCACUGCUCACUCUUUGUUUAAAAGGUACCGCCAUGAAUUUAAGUCAAAUGAAUUAUGGACAGAGAUCAAACUUGUCCUUGAUGCCUUUGCUUUGCCCUUGACAAAUCUUUUUAAGGCAACUAUUGAACUUUGCAGCACACAUGCAAAUGACGCUAGUGCUUUGAAGGUUCUCUUUUCUUCUCUCAUUCUAAUUGCGAAGCUGUUCUACAGUUUAAAUUUUCAGGAUCUUCCUGAGUUUUUUGAAGAUAAUAUGGAAACAUGGAUGACAAAUUUUCAUAGUCUUUUAACUUUAGAUAAUAAACUUUUGCAGACUGAUGAUGAAGAGGAAGCUGGAUUACUGGAGCUCUUGAAAUCACAAAUUUGUGAUAAUGCUGCUUUAUAUGCUCAAAAAUAUGAUGAAGAAUUCCAGCCCUACCUGCCACGUUUCGUAACAGCAAUCUGGAAUCUGUUAGUCACAACAGGCCAGGAAGUGAAAUAUGACUUGCUGGUUAGUAAUGCAAUCCAGUUUCUGGCCUCAGUUUGUGAGAGACCACAUUACAAGCAUCUGUUUGAAGACCAGAAUACAUUGACAAGCAUCUGUGAAAAAGUUAUUGUUCCCAAUAUGGAAUUUAGAGCGGCUGAUGAAGAAGCAUUUGAAGAUAAUUCUGAAGAAUAUAUAAGAAGGGAUUUGGAAGGAUCUGAUAUUGACACCAGGCGCAGAGCAGCUUGUGAUCUAGUCAGAGGCCUGUGCAAAUUUUUUGAAGGACCUGUGACAGGGAUUUUUUCUGGAUAUGUUAAUUCUAUGCUGCAAGAAUAUGCAAAGAAUCCAUCUGUUAACUGGAAGCACAAAGAUGCAGCUAUUUACCUUGUUACGUCUUUGGCAUCGAAAGCUCAAACACAGAAGCAUGGGAUAACACAAGCCAACGAACUUGUUAAUCUGACAGAAUUCUUUGUGAAUCACAUUCAACCUGACUUAAAGUCUGCUAGUGUGAAUGAAUUCCCUGUGUUAAAAGCAGAUGGUAUCAAAUAUAUCAUGAUUUUUAGAAACCAAGUACCUAAAGAACAACUGUUGGUAUCUAUUCCUCUCUUAAUCAAUCAUCUUCAAGCAGAAAGUAUUGUGGUCCAUACUUACGCAGCCCAUGCUCUUGAAAGACUGUUUACCAUGAGGGGCACAAAUAAUACUACCCUCAUUACAGCUGCAGAAAUGGCACCAUUUGUGGAAGUGCUAUUAACAAACCUUUUUAAAGCACUGACUCUUCCUGGCUCAUCUGAAAAUGAGUACAUUAUGAAAGCCAUCAUGAGGAGUUUUUCUCUGCUACAGGAAUCCAUAAUUCCAUACAUCCCUUCUGUCAUCACACAGCUUACACAGAAACUGCUGGCUGUCAGUAAGAAUCCAAGCAAACCUCACUUUAACCAUUACAUGUUUGAAUCAAUAUGCUUGUCGAUAAGGAUAACGUGCAAAGCAAACCCUGAUGCAGUUGGAAGCUUUGAAGAGGCUUUGUUUAUGGUGUUCACUGAGAUACUACAGAAUGAUGUGCAAGAGUUCAUUCCAUAUGUGUUUCAAGUGAUGUCCCUACUUCUAGAAAUGCAUAAAAAUGAAAUCCCAUCAUCGUAUAUGGCAUUGUUUCCUCAUCUACUUCAGCCAGUGUUAUGGGAAAGGACAGGAAACAUUCCUCCUUUGGUCCGACUCCUGCAGGCUUAUUUAGAGCGGGGUGCCAAUACAAUAGCAAGUGCUGCUGCUGACAAAAUUCCUGGAUUGUUAGGUGUGUUCCAGAAGUUGAUUGCCUCUAAAGCUAAUGACCAUCAAGGAUUCUAUCUUCUAAACAGUAUUAUAGAGCAUAUGCCUCCUGAAUCAGUUGACCAGUACAGGAAACAGAUCUUCAUUCUGCUAUUCCAAAGACUUCAAAAUUCCAAAACAACAAAAUUUAUUAAAAGUUUCCUAGUCUUCAUUAACUUGUACUGCAUAAAAUAUGGGGCAUUAGCUCUGCAGGAAAUAUUUGACAGCAUACAGCCCAAGAUGUUUGGAAUGGUUUUGGAGAAAAUUAUAAUUCCUGAAAUCCAGAAAGUGUCUGGACAAGUUGAAAAGAAAAUAUGUGCUGUUGGCAUUACAAAAAUAUUAACAGAAUGCCCUCCUAUGAUGGACACUGAGUACACCAAGCUGUGGACUCCUUUGCUGCAGGCCCUCAUUGGCCUCUUUGAACUGCCUGAGGAUGACACCAUCCCUGAUGAAGAACACUUCAUUGACAUAGAAGAUACUCCAGGAUAUCAGACUGCAUUCUCUCAGCUAGCCUUCGCUGGAAAAAAAGAACAUGAUCCUGUAGGUCAAAUGGUGAACAAUCCUAGAAUCCAUCUGGCACAGUCUCUUCACAAACUGUCUACAGCGUGCCCAGGCAGGGUUCCAUCAAUGCUGAGUACUAGUCUGAAUGCAGAAGCGUUGCAGUAUCUCCAAGGAUACCUCCAAGCUGCAAGUGUGACACUGCUCUGAAUUGCAUAUAUUCCACAAGCAAGAUCAAAAGCUGUUUUGUUAUACAGAAGUUACUUGUCCACAGAAAUUCUGCAGAUGACUUGAAUUGGGACUGGUUUUUCGUAGGUAGAAUGCCUGUUGAAGCUGGGCCUUGUAUCAAGAAAGUUACUGAAUUUACUGAGAUGGGGCAGAAUCAGCUGUCUUUCAGUUCCUCCUUAGUGUCUGUGGCUGCCAUGUGAGAGUGCAUGCUGGCCAUAUCUCUUUAUAUAUAUAAAGAAAUGAGUUGCUUGUUAGACAAUGGAUUUAAAAUACUAAGUGCCUAAAAAUGUAUUAAAUGAGUCAGCAUCAACAGGUUUUCUUGAAUCUGGUCUGUCAUGCAGUGCCAGACCCUCUUUGUUCAUAGGUAUGAAGUGAAAGCAGUUCUCAAGAGUGAAAUAAUGCAGUGGUGAUCGUGAAAAGCAUCUGCCUUAAUGCUGGUGGGAGAGACUGAUGUGUUUUACAAGUUUGCCGAAGCGCCUUGGAGAAUGAAUUUCAAUAGACAGGCUAAAACCACGUGGGAGAUGUGUGACAUUUGCAAGGAACUGAAUGCCUACCUCGAAUGUCAGUGUUAAUUGAGCUGUGGUCAUUCAAAACCUGCAGGCCAAAAGGAUACUCAGAACUCCGUCUGCUCUGCAGCUUUGUCUUUUUUUCCUUGGAUAACAGGGAGAAUAAUUCUACAAAGAAUUUAGAGACCUUUCUUUCCUGUCAGCCUCAGAGAACCAAAAUUAAAUUGGUACUGUUGGUCAUGUAACAGUAAUUUGACAUGCUGCCUUUGCAUCUAUUCAAGUAGACAGGCUAUUAUGCAUGUAUGCUAGAUAACCUCGUGCUGAAAUGGGGUUCUUCAGCACUAUGUAAUAUUAAGGGGCUCAUAUCAGACCAUCUUAGUUCUGCAGUUCUAAGCAAGAUUUCUUUAGGGGACAGGUUGCUGAGAUAUGUAAGUACGUGAACAGAUGUUUUGUAUCUUACCAGUACCAACGGAGAUGGAGCUGGACGGGAUUUACAGCAACAAACCAGAACCUUUUUGAGAAGUAGCCAAAGAAAAAUUGGCUCUUCUGAACAGAAAAUUAUCAGUGAAUCUUCACAUUCUCUUUCUUGCACUUCCUGCAACGUGUGACUUUUUGUUGUUGGACAGACAUUCCGUGUGAGUAAGUGCCUAAGUGACUUCAGAUCAACAAAUACUAGUGGCAUACUUGUCCUUCAGUUCACUCAGAGUAACGUAGACUUUGUAGACAUGGCUGUGGCUGUGGCACUGCUCGUGACAUGUUAUUUAGUCCUGACAUUUUCUGCAGAUUUUAUAAGGCAUGCAAGUGUUUAUAUAGAGCACUUACCCUUUCAGGGAAAUGAACUUUUCAAGUGUAGUGCAGGCAAGCAGAUGCAUCUCUGAUUCAGAGUACCGGCAAAUGUUACUGGCAAUGCCCUCACCUUCAUUUAGGUGGAGACCUAAAUUGCUACUUCUGACACCUCCAGUUCUCAAGAUUCAGAAGGCAACACAAUGUUCCAAACUAUAUUUAACUGUUAAGUUAGUGGAAACUGAUGCAAGCAAUGUCGUAACAGUUUUUUUGCAAGAUCGUUGAACUUCUCUAGGCCCCCCCCCCUUCGGUGCAUCCCUUGUUAAACAGUUAGGCAAACACCAGUUUCUUUAGAAAGCUCAGCCUGGAAACACCUGGUGUCAAUGGAUCUUCUGAGGACUUGGGGGCAUCUAGUUCAAUUUUUGACAAUUAACUCCUGCCCAUCACCUGAGGUCUUCUGAAACACUUCUGAAAAUAAGUAGCCAAUUUUCCCUUGCAACUGAUAAUGGUAGAAGAUUGUUCAAACUCAAGGACAAAAAGAUUACUUGCUCCUUUUUGAGUAUGAAAUGGGAAAAAGGACAUCUGGUUUGGGAUUGUUUGACACCACAGAACUCUGAUCUACUCUCCUUUUUUGGACCCUACUGAAUGACUUGUGGUUGUCAGCUUCUAAAUUAUGUUCCGAGGCUUUUGUAGCAGAAGAAAUACCUUGUUGUUGGUUUAAGGAGGAAAAACCAAAACAAAACCCCACCACUUUCAAGACCAGUAUAUAUUCCUGUUUUCUUGGGUUGUGAAUGAGCUACAGUAG